UCCCGUGAAAUAGCCUCGUGCAACUACAACAAAAAAGGGUAUUACCAAGUCACUCAAAACCCUCCAAAAAACUAACAUUACUUCUCUUAUCAUCACUCAUUCGCACUCAUCUUAAUCAUGUAACCAAGUUGUCUGAAUAUAAAUCCUUCUACUACAUUUCGCAAACACAAUGACUGACUCUGUUAUCAAUUCCAUGUGGAUAAGCGCCUUCCUAGUGAUGCAACAAAGAGCUUUGACUUAAACAAAACAACAAACAUUACUCUUAUUAUCAUUACUCACUAAGCACAGACGAAUCAUGUAACCAAAUUAGAAUAAUCUAAAGCUUCCUACAACAUUUUGCAAACAAAAUCACUAACUAUUUCUACACUAGAUAAGCCCCUACUUAGUGAUUACUCCUCUUAUCAUCUCACUCACUAGCCUCAGAUUCUUCUCGCGAGGUAGCCUCAUGAAACUACAACAAUAAAGGGUAUUUGCUAAAGUCACCCAGAACACCAAAACAACAAACGUUUUUCAUCUAAAAACACACUUUAAGUAGCCAUGCUGCUUUACCACUCACUCGGAAACAAAAAUCAUAUAACCUUAUGUUGUGUUAAAUAAAGCCUUCAACUACAUUUAGCAUAACACUAGUCCUCUUAUCAUCACUCACUAAGCACAGAAGAAUCAUGUAACCAAAUUAUCUUAAUCUAAAGCCUUCUUCUACAACACUUGGCAAACACAAUCCAUAACAAACUUGCUACACUCGAUAAGACUAUAAGCCCCUACUUAGUGAUGCAACAAAG